rnacentral:rRNA from 1 species
UACGUAGGGGGCAAGCGUUGUCCGGAAUCAUUGGGCGUAAAGAGCGCGUAGGCGGCCCUGUAAGUCCGCUGUGAAAGUCAAGGGCUCAACCCUUGAAUGCCGGUGGAUACUGCAGGGCUAGAGUCCGGAAGAGGCGAGUGGAAUUCCUGGUGUAGCGGUGAAAUGCGCAGAUAUCAGGAGGAACACCGAUGGCGAAGGCAGCCUCCUGGGCCAGCACUGACGCUCAUGCACGAAAGCGUGGGGAGCAAACAGG